UGGCUUUUAGGUGUAGCCGCUGCUUGAGGACCAGGAGGACCAGGACCUGCUGCUGCUGAUGACUAUAAUUUGCAGGUGCAGGCGCUAGCAGAGGACGAGAUGGACCAGAUGAUUGCCAAGAUGCUGCACGAGGACUCGCAGGCGGUGCUGCUGCUGGCUGACAUGGAUUAACAGAUGGACGAGCUGCAGACGGACUAGCUUGAUGAGAUGCUGGACGACGUAGAUGAGACGAUGCAUACGACGUUGGACAAGGAGCUGCUGUUUGCUGUAGUGUAUUUUCGGGUACUGGUGCAUUAGACGAGCGGAAAUCUGGACAGGUCGACUGGCGAGGUGGUGCCGACGGUUGCUGGUGGACU